UAGGGGUUAGCAAACUCAAUAAUACCAUAAACAAGAUACUAUAAGUAACACACCAAAUAAUACCACACCCUAAACUCCGACUAACCUUCUACUCUAAUCUGCCUCCUUCAUAACUUCCUAUUCAGGGUCAUGUCCUCGGUAAGCUGAAGCUGCUCCAUAUCAUGUCUAAUCAUGUGAGGUGAUUAGGCGGGACAUGGAACAGUUACAGCUCACCGAGGACAUGACCCUAGAUAGGAAGGUAUGGAAGAUGCGAAUUACGGCAGAGGAUUAGGGCCAGUUCGGGUCGCUAGUGUAGGGAAUUAAUUGGUGGGGGUGUAUUCCUGUUAUGAUUCCGUAUUCAAUGUUCCGUGUUCCGUGUUCCAUGUUUAUUACGAAUAUGUGUGCUUUCCUCU
rnacentral:lncRNA from 1 species